rnacentral:rRNA from 1 species
UACGUAGGGGGCAAGCGUUGUCCGGAUUUAUUGGGCGUAAAGAGCGUGUAGGCGGCUUUACAGGUCCGUUGUGAAAACUCGAGGCUCAACCUCGAGACGCCGGUGGAAACCGUAAGGCUAGAGUCCGGAAGAGGAGAGGGGAAUUCCUGGUGUAGCGGUGAAAUGCGCAGAUAUCAGGAAGAACACCCGUGGCGAAGGCGGCUCUCUGGGACGGUACUGACGCUGAGACGCGAAAGCGUGGGGAGCGAACAGG